AUAUACUCAAGGAAAAAUGACUUCAAGUAAGAUUGUUGUUGUUUUGCAUGUCCUUUUGAUCUCUAUCAUUCUCUUGGCUUUUCAGGUGGCUGCUAGGGAACUGAUCGAGCCUUCUAGCGUUCUAAAUCCUUACCAUAAGAUGGACAGAGAGCUGAUCAAUGGUCGUAGUCCUUCGUCGGGGGAUACUCCAUGGGGCUACCAUCCCUAGACAUGGAUGAUUUGCCUCAACGACUCGAGCUUAAUUCGAGAUGAAGAGGUUGGCUUGGUGAUUAAGAUGUCCCGAUCGAGGUGAUGCUUGCACUUGAAUCUCACUACUGCAAGCUGCUAGCUACUAUUUUUCUUUUCUUGUUUUUCACUUCUCCUCCUAUCAGUUGUAAAAACGUGGAAUUGAAAUAAAGUUGUUUGUGAAUCGAUCGUUG